AUAGCUCAGUCAGUAGAGCGUAGCGCUAAUAACGCCAAGGCCACGGGUUCGAUUCAUGUU
rnacentral:tRNA from 1 species